GUCUGUUCGUAUAUCGGUUAGUACACGCGCCUGUCAUUCGCCUGGCCGCUCGAAAGCUAGGUUCGAUUCCCAGACAGAGCG